GACGUAGGGCGCGAGCGUUGUCCGGAUUUAUUGGGCGUAAAGAGCUCGUAGGCGGCUCGUUGCGUCGGCUGUGAAAACCCGCAGCUCAACUCCGGGCCUGCAGCCGAUACGGGCAGACUAGAGUUCGGCAGGGGAGACUGGAAUUCCUGGUGUAGCGGUGAAAUGCGCAGAUAUCAGGAGGAACACCGGUGGCGAAGGCGGGUCUCUGGGCCGAUACUGACGCUGAGGAGCGAAAGCGUGGGGAGCGAACAGG
rnacentral:rRNA from 1 species